UGAAUGAAGUUAAUUUGAAAGGACAAUAACUGCAAAAUUUUGGGAGAUUCUCAGUGACCAAAGUUGCAUGGUCAAGGUUAUACGUGGCUCCUCCCUUCACAUAGUACAGCAAAGCUCUUCUUAUUCAGGCACCAACCAGCCAAGCAAGUUCUCCACCCAGGGUGCUGAGCUCUUAAUGAAACCAGAAGCCAAAAGGUAUGACAGCCUAGUUCUGAAGAUUGCUGCAGUCUGGAGUCUAGUAUUUGCGAACCCAAGAGAGCCAAGAAAGGGUCCUUUACUUAAAGCUGCAAGAAGAAGGAAAAUAAAAACCCCAAAGUUAAGUAUCACCAUCCAGCUGGCACAUGUGCUCAGGCCACAACUGGCUUUGGCAAGUCCCCAUCCUCGAGGCCUCCAGUGGCUCUGAAAUUCUCACCACAAGAAAAUCAUGGGUUUUAAGACACAAGAAUUAAAGAACACAUUGAUGUAAUUUUGGUGCAUGAGCAUUUAGAGAAAUGUGUGUUUGUCUUUGAAGGUUGGCUAACUUUGGAAAUUCUUCAGACCUGUAAUGGGGCUAUUUGCCCGGGAGUUGGUUCUACUGUUCCUGAAGAGAUGGCAAUAUUAACCAUCCCCAAAGUGCAGCAUUGAGCCUUUCCCCUUCCCACUACCCCAUACUCAGGAGGAGCAAUCUAUGCCCAAAUUUCUUUUUAAAAUUAGAAGUAUCUCUCUGUAUAUAAACUGAUCGCCUAGAGUCUUAAUCAGAAAAUAAAACUAGUUCUUAAAUUUUCUUGGAGGAAUUUUGCUCAAGUGAUUGUAUUAUUUCUGCUUGAAUAACUCCUUACAAAGGAAAUUCUUAAGCUAUUUUUCCAGAUAAUAGAGUCAAAAUUAGUUUCUUUCUAAUUCUACACAUUCAUUCUUGUUCUUUCUCUGAGGGGCACAAAUAAUAAUCCAUCCUCUUGGUCAUAGCCACCCUCAUAUUCCAUCUUUUUCCUAGACUAAAUAUUCCAAUGUUUUUCACCUGACAAGUACUUCACCAUCCUAAUCAUUCUUUCCUGCAUACGUCCAGCUUGAUUCUCAUCUUUUAGGGUACUUGCUUUAAUUUUUAAAAACAUUUUGCCUAGCUUGCACUGCAAUACUCCUGUAAAAUAAUGCAGAGUCUU
rnacentral:lncRNA from 1 species